UGAAAAGUGAAACCCAUUAAGCAUAAUGGGUUUCUUAUCUAUUUCUAAUAACAUACUGAUCUAGCUCUACUUUUACCGUCAUGGUAUAUUCACUGACAAAUUAAAUUCACACUGUUUCUUAGUGGGCAAGAGAGAUUUUACCAAGUCCGUUUUCUUGGAUGUCACAAAAAUGACAUAAAAAUGCCAUUUAAUUCAUGCAUGCACUUUGACCGUAGUACCCUUUCUAACCUGGUAGGGCACUUCUCCUAUCUCAUUCUACAGUACACAAGUACAUGAGUUCCUCCUCUCUAAUAAUGCUCAGCAUGCAGACAAUUUACUUACAAUUUCCAUUUGUAUACCAAUUAACACGGAAAAAACCCUGCGUAUCAAACAUCUCAGGUUUCAGCAACCGUAUUUCUUAUACCUUUCUGUCACAAUGACUCCCCAACAUGCAAGCAUUAAUAGGACAAUAGCAGAUGCUUUGAGGAAAACAACUCCACAUAAACAGCUGUAAUGGCACAUCCUCCCUUCACUUUUCUCCUCUGAGCAAAAUCAAGUACCCUCUUCUGUAUGGAGAGGAAUGCUGUGUUCCCAGCGGUUCCCUGAAGGACUGUGGCAAUACUCAGGUCCUCAACGGUCAAAAACCUUUUGAUAUGCGUUAUUUUCAGUUGAUUAUGCAUUCAACGAGGCGCUCUCACCACGGGGCCACUUCAGAUCUCAUCAGGCUCACCGUAUCCAAACAGAAGCUUGCUAGUGCUCUUGCACUUACGACUGUUGUUUCAAGGCAUUAGUGAAGACCAGGGAGUAUAGGUAUCUCCAAUUCCCAAGAGAAUUUCGGCCAGUUCCUUUUUCAGCUGUAUGGAUUGUUGCUUGGAGGCCCUCGUGUUUGUUAACUCAGAUGCUCCCCCCACCUUCAGCUUCAUAAAAAGACGCACAGCAUAUGCGUCUUUUCCUUGGCAAAAUGCUAGAAGCACAGCUGAUAACACGAAGAUCCUGGAGCUGGGCAUCUGCUAUUUGAGAUGCAUGCAAGCACCACAGCACACAAAAGUACUUUCCCUCUCCCUUAUUUUAUGGCCCAGCUCCAUGAACUGCUGAGAGAAGACAGACGUUGCUCAGUGAGACUCUUCACUUCUUACCUUAUCUGUGUUUUCUUGCUAUAUGCAAAUUUCAAAAUUUACCAAAAAUAGAAGAAAAAAUGUAACAGCAGAAAAGAUGUGACCUUUUCCACUUGCUUCUCCUAAUUAAGACAGAGUUUACCGGAGAGAUUCUGCUUUGACAUCAUCUCAGUCCAAAAUUUUCUUGUUCACCAUGAAAAGACUAAUAAGAGUGUAUUGCAGAGAUCUGAAGAAAUUUUAAAAUACCUAUUCUUCCUAUACAGUCAGCUGUCCAAAGUUGAAAGGCGUAUGGGAAUUGGUAAGCAGAGACAGGGAAGGUCUGGGUUUGUUUUCUUUUCCCCAGAGCUGUUACAGAAACAGGAAACAGAAUGGGUGGAAACCUACUGUCAUCAACACUGCACUUCCUCUGCUGAUGAAGAAUAGCCAUACCCAGGUUUUGGUUCUGACUUGCUGGGAGUGUAUGCUGUACACCCCAGAUAAAAGGAUUUAUCAUGAAGGGCACACUCCAGUGGGAGAGCUGGAGUAGAUAGCUACACUACGUGUUUGAGAACAUGUAGGCUUAAUCUACAGUGUGAAUUCAGGAACCUUCAGAGAUAAUAAUUUGGCUGACAACUAGAUUUUAGGAUGCAGAGAAACCUGCUACAUCUGAAGGAGGAACUAGUUGUUCUUGCAGCAGACUGUUCUGUAUUCUGUAUUCCUAUCCUCAUUAAGCUGAAGGAUCCUUGAGUCACCCAAAAUCUAAAGAAAAGAAAAAUCCCAAAUAUCUGAGAAAGAGGAAGACACAGACUGUGUCCUUGCGUCUAGAAGGCUUCUAAAUGCAUAUCCACUCAUUUGACUGAAAAGUGGCAUUGGGUGUUGAUGAUUAGAGAAAGCCUUUGAGUCAUACAAACCCAGUAGUUUAAUGACUUGAUCAACAAUCAAGAGAGAUUGAAUACCUGAAAAACAUCCAGACACAAAGGUUGAUGAGGUUUAUCUAGUCUUGGGCUACCAUCUAUCCUGUGUUGGUUACUCAUGGGAAUAUUAAUAAGGUCAGGCACAUGUGACAUGCCACAGGCAAACUGAAACAAAACAUGUACUGAGAGGGGCUGAGGGGUUUGGGUAUUUUACUGUGUAAACAUGUUGGUGCAUUGACAACAGCAGUAAUGUUAAUAACUUCUGUUUCCUCAAAAGAUCCUCUGGUUCUGGUGUUGGGUUUUUUUAAGUCUUUAAAAGAUUGUCCUUUGGCCUACAACGCAUUUUGCAAAGCUGAUAAAGAAAAGGCCCUAUUCUGCUCAUACUACAACCACUUCCAAGUGAUUGAGUCAUUGUAAAUUGUGCAUGUGUGAAAAAAAUGAGGAGGUCACUAUGGUGUUUUGAACACUUGCUGCAUUUUUUUUCAGAGAGUCCACAUUCCCAGAGAGAGUUCCUGUUUGCAAUAUGCUCUCUUCUCUCCAAGUGCUUCAUAAAACAAUUGCAUCAACCCAUUAGUAAUGGAUUAUAGAUUAAGCAGAAACGAAAGGGCACAGGACUGUUCUUUUAUAUUGUCUCCCAAUUUAUUUUUUUUAAGCAAUAGAUAAUAAUUGACAGGAGCAAUUUAGGAGUCACAGGUUGAUUUGCUUUUAUCACUAGAAGGCUGCACUAUGCUCAUGUUAUCUUUUGUGUAUGGAGGUGGUUCCAUGAUCAUUUGGGGUUUGGGACAGAAUCAUUAUGUUCUUACCAACUUUCCAAUGGACAGUUGCAAGCUGGUCCCACUGCAGUUCUCUGUAGGCCCACUCUUGGAAUGGAUUUCAAUGAGCAGCACUUCUGACGAGGGGCAAAGUUUUGACUUUUAACCUCAGAAGUUUAAAUUCAAGGUUCUGUUUGAUUACAUUCUUUUAAUGUUUGUUUAGCUUUAGUAUUCAUCUAACAAAGUGGGAAAAAUACCUUUGUGUCAGCAUAAACUAUCUUGGGAUACUUAGAAAGUGUGAAGUCCAUGCAUAAAACAUCUGAAAAGUUUUCCAUUAACACAAGUAUCCAGUGUUGGUGAUAUUUAUUAUCAGUAAGGGAAUGGGGAAAAAAAAAGUGCAUUUGAAAAAUUCAGUUCAGCAUUUCUCAAGACUUCCUCAUGUUUAUUAUUUAUUUGUCUUUUCUUAAAAUAUGAAUGAAGUCAGUGAAAAUG